AGUGGAGCCUCCCAGCAAGCCCUACACCCCGCCCCUCCCCACAGGGGUGCCGCUCUGAACUGCCUGACCCGCGCACAUUGUCCUGGGCCUGUUCUCGCCUCUUCCCAGCAACCUGCGGCAGGGCCCGAGCAGAUGCCCUGGGCUUCUCCUUCCCGGGGAGCCGUGUUUCCAGGAGACCCUACGCCUUCCUCUCCCUAGGAGCAACUGGACACGCUGCAAGGGGCCCUGGAGGAGAGCAGACGGCACAGCCAGGCCCUGGCCCAGAGAGGGAAGCUCCUAGAGGAGCAGGUCGCCCACCUGGAACGCAAAUGUCAGGAGGCCAAGGGCGCGCGGGAGCCCUUCCUGCAGAUGGAGCAGGAGAUGCUGAGGAGGGAAGGGGACAGGGCCCAGCCAGGGGUCGAGAAGGAACAAGGGCAGCAGGACGCGGACAGGGACCUGAGGCCAGACCAGCAGCUGCAGGUCAGCUGGGCCAGUGGGGCUUCGUGUGCCCUAGCCUGGGGGGUGGGCCAGGGCGGGUGCGUCCAGGUGGGUGUGGGUCUCAGAAGGGUGCCCACAUGCCCUCACGACCAUGCCUACACAGAUGGGAAGGACGGGCUGGACGGUCCCUACACUGGACAGAUAAGGAGACAUGGCCCCAGACGACAAUGGGGUCUACCAGGGUCACACCUCAAGUCCCAGACAGAAGUGGAACCAGGACCCAGGGCUCCAUGGACCCCUCCCAGUCUUCUCUCCGAGGCCCCGUGGUGGUGGUAGCAUGGUCAGGGACCUCAUUAGCCAAGCACGGACCAGAAGAGGGAGGCGUGUGGGAAGCACAGGGUCAGACAGGCCUAUGGGCAAGUCCAGGGGCUGCCCCUGUGCAUGUUGGGGGCAUCUCCCCUUCCCCUGCUGGGCAGACCCCUACGUCUAUGCAAGGAGUUGGCAAGGGGAGCAGGGGACAAGAGUCAGCCUGUGAAGCCAGUGGGACCCCCCCGGUCCAGCCAAGCAGAAACUAGGAUGCCAUUAAAACAGCUCUGAGGCCCACCCUGGCAGCCUAGGGAGGGCUCGAGGCCAGAGAAGGCCCAGGGGCUGAACGUGUGUGCUCACCCCUAGGUCUGCUUGCCAGUCCUGGGCUGGGGCCCGAGCCCGGCAGAGGGCAGUGAAGCCAGCUGGGGGCUAGAUGAAGGAAUAGCAGCCCUAAGGGGAGGGCAGGACACCUGCCCUGGGACUCCGCGCAGCUCUCAGGCAGGCGGGCAGCAGUGAGGUGCCCAGGUCCAGAGAGUGGAGCUGGAACCGGCCUGAGCCCCAUGGCCCUGGGAACCGGCAGCCCCACACCAGCGAGACCUGGCCCCGGAGGCCAAGCAGUGUCACGGGGUCUGGCUGCUGGCUGCACAGGUCCUGGAGGAGCACAUGGGGCCAGACCUCCGUGUCCAGGCGGAGAGAGGGGUGCAGAGGGAACCAGCAUCCUGCAGUGGCACCCGCGGCCUAAGGCCUUCCGGCAGUGGGAUCCCGGCACAGCCGCCCAUGGGCUCCAACCACCCCCGGGACUCUCACACUUCCAUCCGGUCACUCCCACCGCUCACUGAGGGGCGGAGCGAGGAUCCUAGGACAGGUCACCACUCUCUCUGUGCCCUUAAGGGGAGUGGUGGGGACAGUUCCUGGGUCAGAGGUCACUGCGUUUAAGUGUCCAGCAGCGCCUGGCACAUGGCAGUUGGAGCAAAGGUGGUCCCUGCACCUGUCCUUCAGAGUCACGAGGGGAGAACAGUGGCAUAUGUGGCCUUGGGCGUGGACCCACUCUGCCCCCCUCCCCGCCACGCACCUGCUGGGGCUGACCCUCGGGCUCUGAGCCAUCAGGCACCUGGGAGCCCUCGGUCAAAACCCUCAUUUUACAGCUGAGGGAACUGAGACCCAGAAAGGUAGAGUGACCACCCAGUGCCACCCCCAAAUUAGUGUUCCUAACCCCCCGAGCCCCAUUUGCCAAACCGUGAAGCCAAGGAGCAUGUAUUUCCUUAUUACCCUGAGUGCUUUUGCUGCCUGCGUGGAGCAGGGGGUCUGUCCACUGCAGGCAUGCAAGUCCCUCAGUCCCUAGGACCCGCACACGUGGUUGGCGUCCCCGUCUGGCAGCUGGCGAGCCCGUCGGCCUGCCUAAUGUUUCUCUCCCACACACGCCCCCUCCCCUCAGCAGCCACAGAGCUCUGCACACCCCGUGCCGGGGGGCCCUGGCCGCGGGGCCUGCCCUCCCCACCCAAGCUCCUGCCCUGUCCCCAGGUGGUCAGUCUGAAGAAGCAGCUGGACCAGGAGGUGCCUCGGCAGCAACGAGCCCGCCUCGGCCAGGCUUCCCAGGCCGAACAGUGAGCCCUGCUGCAGAAUGCCCCCUGGGCGGCCUGCCCACCACAGCCGUGACCAGCCAGAGGCAACGGAGCCCCCGCCAGGAACACAGAGGCCUCGUGCCAUCCCGAGAGCGUGGUGCGGGCAGCCACAGCCCGGAGCCCACCACACCUUCCCCAGGGGCCCUGUGUCAGAGGCACCCUGCGACCACUGAGCACAGAGCUCCUCCCGGCCCUUGGGACCCCGUGCUCCAGGACGCCCCUCGGCCACGCCCCCCCGCUGCACGGAGCCCCCACAGCCCGCACCCGGCCUGGCACUGUUUCCACUCAGGACGCGCUGAUCUGGGCAGACCCUGGUAGCCAGGCCCCGUCCGGCCAGCUUCCGUGGCCACAGGCUGCAUUCCAUGCCCUCAGCUCUAUAAACACGGGGAAACACGUGGAACAUGUUUCCACCAACUGGAGCCAAAAACAUAAUGUCCUGCGAGGCCCAGCCACCACUUCCCUCCGUCCAGAGGCCGCGGGACCUUCUGUAUCCAGGAACUGCAGGCCCGUCCCAGUGGCAGGUGGCUGGAAAUGACUCAGAAGCAAGUCCCCGUGACUCCCUGGCCACGAGAAGUGCCGGCCUGUGAAAGUUAGAGCGCUCCCGAGCCUCCCACUUCUCCAGCCUAAAAACUCUGGGAAAUUCCUGCGGGAACCCAGCCCGGUUGCUGCGGAGAACGAGGCCGCCAUCUCGGGCCUCUGCGGGGUUCACCUGUCGGCAUUUUUACUCACGCCCCCAUUAACACUGGUCAGAGUGACUUGCUCUCCUGUCCCAACGGCAUCUCCUGUUUUGUAAGUGGCGCAUUCACAGUGUGGGGGGCAGCGGGCCGUGCGGGGCACUCCUGUGGGCACGGGAGCUGGCUGCCCUCCAGGCUGUGGGAAGGGCCACGGGCCCGUGGAGCCCACCUCAGCGCGGGCACCGCACCCAACAGGCUGUCCCGUCCGACUUGGCCUUCCGCGUGAACACAGCAACGGUGUGAGCGCGUGUGGUGAAGUGUGCAAAAGCAGGGGCUAGAGAGAGGUCGGCCACGGGCCUCCCGCUCUGCCCGGUUAUCGGUGCCUGGGUUGAGAAGGAUUCUGAAGUUCAGCUCAGGCUCAGAGGGGAAGAGCAGAGUGACCGUUAACAACGGUUGCUGUGGGCAGAGGGGCUGUUGGUGCUGGUGUCCGCACCUGACACGGGCCAGUCAGGGCAGAUCGCAACCAGGGGAGGGGAGCAGGCGGGUGCACCCCUCCUGCUGGAGAGCGUCCUGCAGAACAGGGAAGGGUGGCAGCAGACGGCCCCGCUCCCAGAGGAAGGAUGGUAGAAGAUGGUGGGGGGGUGCGGGGGAAGGGACAAGAAGCUGGAGAUGCGAGUGUGUGGGCGCUUUCCUCUCUGCCUGCCCGUGGCACCCUGGACCGUCACACGUGCCCUCCCCUGGGACUGAAGCCCCCAGCCCAGAAGAGCUACCUGAUAAGUGCUCAUGGGUUAGAGGGGGUGCCCUGCAGAUGCCAAACAGGUCAGGGUGGGUCCUCGGUGUUCAAAUGAAAGCCCCCCAUAACCCGCCGGCAUACUCUGUGGCGAUGUCUGUGUUUUCCCCACAUGCACAUGAGGGACGUUCAAAGCACCUGUGAGACCUCCGAGACGUGUGUAUUUUAACAAAUAGUUUGGUCCAUGGAGAUGCUAUUUCUGUUUAUUCAACAUAAAGCCAUAUACUUAGGAAG
ensembl:lncRNA